rnacentral:snRNA from 1 species
CUCUAUUGGUUCACCAACGAGGA